rnacentral:rRNA from 1 species
ACGGUAAGGCCCCUUCGGGGGUACACGAGUGGCGAACGGGUGAGUAACACGUGGGUAAUCUGCCCUGCACUUCGGGAUAAGCCUGGGAAACUGGGUCUAAUACCGGAUAUGAGCUCCUGCCGCAUGGUGGGGGUUGGAAAGUUUUUCGGUGCAGGAUGUGCCCGCGGCCUAUCAGCUUGUUGGUGGGGUAAUGGCCUACCAAGGCGACGACGGGUAGCCGGCCUGAGAGGGUGAUCGGCCACACUGGGACUGAGACACGGCCCAGACUCCUACGGGAGGCAGCAGUGGGGAAUAUUGCACAAUGGGCGGAAGCCUGAUGCAGCGACGCCGCGUGGGGGAUGACGGUCUUCGGAUUGUAAACUCCUUUCAGUAGGGACGAAGCGAGAGUGACGGUACCUGCAGAAGAAGCACCGGCCAACUACGUGCCAGCAGCCGCGGUAAUACGUAGGGUGCAAGCGUUGUCCGGAAUUACUGGGCGUAAAGAGCUCGUAGGCGGUUUGUCACGUCGUCUGUGAAAUCCUCCAGCUCAACUGGGGGCGUGCAGGCGAUACGGGCAGACUUGAGUACUACAGGGGAGACUGGAAUUCCUGGUGUAGCGGUGAAAUGCGCAGAUAUCAGGAGGAACACCGGUGGCGAAGGCGGGUCUCUGGGUAGUAACUGACGCUGAGGAGCGAAAGCAUGGGGAGCAAACAGGAUUAGAUACCCUGGUAGUCCAUGCCGUAAAACGGUGGGCGCUAGGUGUGGGGUCCUUUCCACGGAUUCCGUG